rnacentral:lncRNA from 1 species
UGUUGUGUUUGUGUGUGUGUGUCUCUCUUUCUUUCUGUGUAAUGUUGCAGGGUGGCUCCUCAUCAGCCCAUGAUUGGACUCCUCCCACUUCCUGCCGUGAUUGGUGGGCUGUAAUCAGGAAGAGGGUUCAAAAUGGUGGCUGCUUUGGUGAAGAAGAAGAGAGUUGGUGAAAAGAGGAGGAGAGUGUUUGAGGAAGAUAGACUGUUGUUGGUGAAGAUAGACUGUUGUUGGUGAAGAUAGACUGUUGUUGGUGAAGUGAAGUAUUAGGACGAGAAGAUAAGACUUAGACUGCCCAGACCUGUUUUGUGUUUCUGUUGUUUAAAUGUCUUCGUUUGUAAUAAAAGAUUAGCCUUAAGUGUUGUUGCGUCGUUUUGGAGUUUAUACUCAUAUGUCCCAUUUGUUAUGUCCCUGACCCUAGACCGGGGACGUAACAUGCACACAUGACCCUGACGUGGUGUCACUUUAAUCCGGGUUCAUAUUUCACCACUUUUUAUUUGUAUAUUUAUUUCAGAAGCUGUUUCUCUUAGACGUGCUGCAAUGGGAAAUGGGUGCGGUGCGGUGCGGUGCGGUGCAAGAUUUACACCAAGUCCCCCGGAUUUUUAGUCUUUCCUUUUUCUGAUGUCUUCAACCCUGGUGCUGAGGUUCCACACUUGAGACACAAGGAAAGCACCAGGUCCAGACUGCAUCUCCUCUUCCACCUUCAAAACCUUUGCUGGCCAUCAGGAUCCAGGUUUCGCACAUGGACUGUCCUCAGGGAUGAGUCCUCUCCCCACAGCGCUCCAGGAUUGUCUCCAGAACUACUGAAACGAGUCAGAGGGACAUAA